UUCCCUAUAGCUCAGAGGGUAAAGAAACUGCAUGCAAUGCAGUAGGCCCAGGUUCAAUCCCUGGUCAGGAAG
rnacentral:tRNA from 1 species